rnacentral:rRNA from 1 species
CAGUCGCCGCGGUAACACGAAGGGGGCUAGCGUUGUUCGGAUUUACUGGGCGUAAAGGGCGCGUAGGCGGACUGAUAAGUCAGGGGUGAAAUCCCAAGGCUCAACCUUGGAACUGCCUUUGAUACUGUUUGUCUUGAGUUCGAGAGAGGUAAGUGGAACUGCGAGUGUAGAGGUGAAAUUCGUAGAUAUUCGCAAGAACACCAGUGGCGAAGGCGGCUUACUGGCUCGAAACUGACGCUGAGGGGCGAAAGCGUGGGGAGCAAACAGGAUUAGAUACCCCUGUAGUCCCUGUCUCUAUACA